CCACCGCGGUUAGACGAGAGGCCCUAGUUGACUAUAUACGGCGUAAAGGGUGGUUAAGGAUUUAUUAAAAUAAAGCCAAAUGGCCCUUUGGCCGUCAUACGCUUCUAGGUGUCCGAAGCCCUUACACGAAAGUAGCUUUAAUAAAAUACCUGACCCCACGAAAGCUGAGAAACAAACUGGGAUUAGAUACCCCACUAUGCUCAGCUGUAAACUUAGACAUUCAAAUACAAUCAAAUGUCCGCCAGGGUACUACGAGCAUUAGCUUAAAACCCAAAGGACCUGACGGUGUCUCAGACCCCCCUAGAGGAGCCUGUUCUAGAACCGAUAACCCCCGUUAAACCUCACCACUCCUAGUCACCCCAGCCUAUAUACCGCCGUCGUCAGCUUACCCUGUGAAGGCAACAAAAGUAAGCAAAAUGGACACAACCCAGAACGUCAGGUCGAGGUGUAGCGCAUGAAGUGGGAAGAAAUGGGCUACAUUUUCUGCAACAGAAUAUUACGAACAUGCACUAUGAAAUAAUGCUUGAAGGAGGAUUUAGUAGUAAAAAGGAAAUAGAGUGUCCCUUUGAACCCGGCUCUGAGACGCGUACACACCGCCCGUCACUCUCCCCUGUCAAAACGCACUAAAAAUAUAUAAUUAACUAGCACCGACAAGGGGAGGCAAGUCGUAACACG
rnacentral:rRNA from 1 species